UACAGAGGUCUCAAGCGUUGUUCGGAUUCAUUGGGCGUAAAGGGUGCGUAGGCGGCGCGGUAAGUCGAAUGUGAAAGCCCCCGGCUCAACUGGGGAGGGUCAUUCGAUACUGCUCGACUUGAAGGCAGGAGAGGGCAGCAGAAUUCCCGGUGUAGUGGUGAAAUGCGUAGAUAUCGGGAGGAAUACCAGUGGCGAAGGCGGCUGCCUGGCCUGUUCUUGACGCUGAGGCGCGAAAGCUGGGGGAGCAAACGGG
rnacentral:rRNA from 1 species